rnacentral:lncRNA from 1 species
AAUAAUUUUUAUAUUCUUAAGAAAUAUGAAUAUUUAUGCUAAUAGCAUAAAUUUUGAGAGAAAAAAACUUAAUUUAAUAGCCGAAUUUUUUAUCCCGAAUUUUUAAUUGGUGAACGUAUAAUAUCCGUAUAAAUCACGUAUCCGAUUAAUUGACAAAUCCUUUUUUUAGCCGUAUUUGUCAAUGAAUUUUAAAAUUAGAAGACGAAUUUUAUCCGAAUUAUACCUGUAUCGAAUUUUUGCCAAAUCUGAAUUAACUAACUAUGUAUGAUAAACCUGUAAAACUAAAUAAUGCAUUCAAAUUUUGAAGUUAAAGUAUCACUGAUGGAGUCAAAUCUAACAUAAAAAAGGUUGAAUAGUAAAAAUAAAAUUUUGAAAAGUUGGAUAGCUGAUUCAAAAUGGUUUGUAUUUUAAAAAUAUU